GGUCAGAAAAGAAGAAAAAAAAACAGGUUAAGAAGAACUGACAAAAAGAAUUGCAAAAUAAUAAGGAAUUAAUGUGAAGAUUAAUUUUUAGUCAAUUCUGCAAGACAGACUUUCAGGAAAGGAGGUGGAAUAAAAAUGAGCUCCUAAAUCUUAAUCCCGGAUUCUGGAAGAUAUAUUCCUCAAACCAUCGGACAAGAGGAGGUGGUGCUGGUCCUUCACGAGUCACUCUAAUCGGUUCAGAAAGCCUAUAUAUAGUCUUAUAUAUAUAUAUAAGUCUUAAUAUAUAGUAUUUCACAAUACUUCAUGGUAUUCUAAUUAAAUCAUUUUUUGGAAUCUUAGAUCUCUCAGAACCUGACACAUUGUAAUUCUGAGACUCCAGGAAAGUGGCAGUUCUGUAAAAUGUUGGCGCUGGAGACUAAAUGCUCCCUGAUAGUUUCACACCUAAUUCACUUAACACACACACACACACACACACACACAUUACCCACAGUGACAGAGGGACAGAGUGACAUCAGAUGUAUGAUAGUUUUUUUAAUUUUCUAUCAUCCAUAUAGUGUUGUAUAGUCAUGAAACUAUGCAUAUUUCCCCAGAAUGACUUGUCUUCUAUGUGUACAAUUUUUUUAAGUGUUUAGAAGCUGCACUUUAAAACAAUAAAAGACAUUUACUGGUUACUUUUUUACUGUUAUUUAAAAAAAUCACCACGACAAACCAUUCAAGCCAUUCAAAAUUCAUCCGCACCUGUACUGUAAGAUACAUUCUUUAAACAGUGGUAAAAGAGGAUGUGGUGCUGAUCCUUCAAGAGUCACUCAAAACGUAUCUGUCCAUAAAGCCUAUAAAGAAUUAUUCUUAAUAUACGGUUCACAAUACUUCAGCUUGUUAUUCUAAUUAAGUGAGGGUCAUUUUAUCAGUAAAAUACAUCAAAUUCAUAUUAUUUUUCUUUGAAAGAUUUCUAUAAAUGAUUUAAAUCAUUAUACUUGUUUCUACAAUAAUUAUUUAAAAGUAAUCCUAUAGCUCCAUCUGGUGGCCAUUAUUGGUACUAAGAAUUGCAAGCUUGAUUUAUAAGUUAUGAUAGUUUUAAUUUUAUGCUGGCUCUUGAAAAUGAUAAAGCUAUGAAACUUACUGUGCUUCCUUCAAAUGAGGACUUCUACUUAUAUAAAAAAUUAUGAAGAGUUAGAAUGAAAAAUUUUAAAGAUAUAGUAAAAUAACUAUUGUAUUUUUUAUGUUACUUUAAUAAAUCUCUAUGGCAACACCAUUUAAGCUAUCCUAAACCCAUUCACAAUUUAACAUCUCAGUAUAUUGGCAUCAUGUUGAAAAAGGAGUAUGGAGUAGUAUGAGGAGGAGUAUGAAUUCAUUUACAGGCUGAUUUUAUCAUAAAUCCACAAUAAAAUUUCUGAGUUCUGUAUCAAUCUGUGUUGUUGUUGUUUGUUUAUUUUUA